rnacentral:rRNA from 1 species
UAGGGAAUCUUCCGCAAUGGGCGAAAGCUUGACGGAGCAACGCCGCGUGAGUGAUGAAGGUCUCCGGAUCGUAAAACUCUGUUAUUAGGGAAGAACAAAUGUGUAAGUAACUAUGCACGUCUUGACGGUACCUAAUCAGAAAGCCACGGCUAACUACGUGCCAGCAGCCGCGGUAAUACGUAGGUGGCAAGCGUUAUCCGGAAUUAUUGGGCGUAAAGCGCGCGUAGGCGGUUUUUUAAGUCUGAUGUGAAAGCCCACGGCUCAACCGUGGAGGGUCAUUGGAAACUGGAAAACUUGAGUGCAGAAGAGGAAAGUGGAAUUCCAUGUGUAGCGGUGAAAUGCGCAGAGAUAUGGAGGAACACCAGUGGCGAAGGCGACUUUCUGGUCUGUAACUGACGCUGAUGUGCGAAAGCGUGGGGAUCAAACAGG